CCUACGGGAGGCAGCAGUGGGGAAUAUUGCACAAUGGGGGAAACCCUGAUGCAGCGACGCCGCGUGAGUGAAGAAGUAAUUCGUUAUGUAAAGCUCUAUCAGCAGGGAAGAAAAUGACGGUACCUGAGUAAGAAGCCCCGGCGAACUACGUGACAGCAGCCGCGGUAAUACGUAGGGGGCAAGCGUGAUCUGGAUUUACUGGGUGUAAAGGGAGCGUAGACGGCUGUGCAAGUCUGGAGUGAAAGGCGGGGGCUCAACCCCAGGACUGCUCUGGAAACUGUACAGCUGGAGUGCAGGAGAGGUGAGUGGAAUGCCAAGUGUAGCGGUGGAAUGCGUAGAUAUUAGGAGGAACACCAGUGGCGAAGGCGGCUUACUGGACUGUAACUGACGUUGAGGCUCGAAAGCGUGGGGAGCAAACAGGAUUAGAUACCCUGGUAGUC
rnacentral:rRNA from 1 species